rnacentral:tRNA from 1 species
GGUAUUGUGGCUCAGUGGUAGAGCACUCACCUAGCAUGUGCGGGGCACUGGGUUCGAUCCUCAGCACCA